rnacentral:rRNA from 1 species
CCUACGGGAGGCAGCAGUCGAGAAUCAUUCACAAUGGGGGAAACCCUGAUGGUGCGACGCCGCGUGGGGGAAUGAAGGUCUUCGGAUGGUAAACCCCUGUCAUGUGGGAGCAAAUUAAAAAGAUAGUACCACAAGAGGAAGAGACGGCUAACUCUGUGCCAGCAGCCGCGGUAAUACAGAGGUCUCAAGCGUUGUUCGGACUCACUGGGCGUAAAGCGUGCGUAGGCUGUUUCGUAAGUCGUGUGUGAAAGGCGCGGGCUCAACCCGCGGACGGCACAUGAUACUGCGAGACUAGAGUAAUGGAGGGGAAGCCGGAAUUCCCGGUGUAGCAGUGAAAUGCGUAGAUAUCGGGAGGAACACUCGUGGCGAAGGCGGGUUCCUGGACAUUAACUGACGGUGAGGCACGAAGGCCAGGGGAGCGAAAGGGAUUAGAUACCCCUGUAGUC